UACGGGGGGGGUAAGCGUUGUUCGGAAUUACUGGGCGUAAAGGGCUCGUAGGCGGCCAACUAAGUCAUACGUGAAAUCCCUCAGCUUAACUGGGGAACUGCGUGUGAUACUGGAUGGCUUGGAUUUGGGAGAGGGAUGCGGAAUUCCAGGUGUAGCGGUGAAAUGCGUAGAUAUCUGGAGGAACACCGGUGGCGAAGGCGGCGUUCUGGACUGCAACUGACACUGAGGAACGAAAGCCAGGGGAGCAAACGGG
rnacentral:rRNA from 1 species